rnacentral:rRNA from 1 species
ACGCGUUGGGAGCUCUCCCAUAUGGUCGACCUGCAGGCGGCCGCGAAUUCACUAGUGAUUGUAUUACCGCGGCUGCUGGCACAGAGUUAGCCGGUGCUUAUUCUGUCGGUAACGUCAAAACACUAACGUAUUAGGUUAAUGCCCUUCCUCCCAACUUAAAGAGCUUUACAACCCUAAGGCCUUCAUCACUCACGCGGCAUUGCUGGAUCAGGCUUUCGCCCAUUGUCCAAUAUUCCCUACUGCUGCCUCCCGUAGGAGUCUGGGCCGUGUCUCAGUCCCAGUGUGGCUGAUCAUCCUCUCAGACCAGCUAAGGAUCGUCGCCUUGGUAGGCCUUUACCCCACCAACUAGCUAAUCCUACGCGGGCUCAUCCCUGGGCGAUAAAUCUUUGGACUUUCGUCAUCAUCCGGUAUUAGCUUCAGUUUCCCGAAGUUAUUCCGAACCCAAGGGCAGAUUCCCACGCGUUACGCACCCGUGCGCCACUAUCCCCGAAAGGAUCGUUCGACUUGCAUGUAUUAGGCAUGCCGCCAGCGUUCGUUCUGAGCCAUGAUCAAACUCUAAUCGAAUUCCCGCGGCCGCCAUGGCGGCCGGGAGCAUGCGAC